ensembl:lncRNA
GUCUUUGUAUUCCCAAUACAGGAAGGCCCAGGAAGUUCCAGAACAGGGUGACCCAGACAAGCCUACCUGUUGACGUUGGAGAAUGGAUCAAGCUGAAGGUCCACAAGAGGAAGUGGAACCACCCCAGAUGGAUGGGUCCGUACCAGGUCAUCGCGGCGACACCCACAGCAGUGAAGGUCCAGGAGCGCCAGGGGUGGCAUCACCUAUCACACUGCCAGAAGACGUCCCAACCAUCAUAACAGAUAAGAGUGCACACCCAGACCCAGAUGUUGUUAUACAUGACCACUAUGGUCACAUUGUUAAAAAGAAAACUUGGGGUAAACCUUUGAGGUACAUGUUUUUGAUACUUCUUAUCAUCCACCAGCAGCCUCUUUUGGGGGGAAUAGAGAUCCAAGAAAAUCAAUUGAAGACCGGUAACCAAUGGGUAAAAAUGGUCCAGAACCUGAGCCAACAAGCCACACCUAGUGGUUCCUAUGUAGUCGUUUAAAAAAAACUCAGUCAGAGUGAAUUGUUUGGAUCAAUGGUAGUCCCAUUGCUAAGUACACCUACUCCAUGCAGGCCCAUAUGAAUUUGACGAUUGCUGAUUUUGCCCUUCUUUCUACUGAUGUUCAAAAUCUUAAAGCUGUUAGAGCCAGGCUUAGCCUGGCAUUAGACUACAUCCUGGCUAGGGAGGGUGGAUAUUGCAGGGCCCUAAAUUAUAUUUCCCUCACUGAAUGUGUUAUGCUUCUCCCUGACUCCUCUGAUAAUAUGACAGAGAUUUUGAAAGAAUAAACACAGUUGGCUGAUACCUAUACCCCUACAGGAGAAGACUCCUGGUUCCCGUUUGGGUGGUUGAAGGUAAGUUAGGCAAUUUUGGAUUUAAGCUGUUUUCCAUUUUGGGCCCAUUACUGGCCCCACUGCUUGUUCUGCUGAUCUGCAUUUGUGCAUUCUGUGCAGCUGCAAAUGUAUACUUCAUAAGGCUAUGCCAGGCAUGUUUAUGCUUCAUGUUCCUCAUCCCCCAGACCCUUAUUUUUAUCCUCAAUCUCCUGAGGAUUGCUUGCAAUCUAAUGCACCUUUUAUGGAUGAUUCUUAUAAUCACUAUGCUUGAGUUACUUCGCUUUUGUUGUGGCCUGGUGGCCUCAAAGGGGGGAAUGAAGGGGUUAAACCAAGGCCUCAUACCUUUUAAGGGGUUAAUAAAUUGUUUUUUGAUAAACUAUAAGGUCUCCUCUUUAGGAGACCUUUGUGUGUGUGUUAACACCUAUUUUAAGUGUUGUGCCCUUCAGACACUAUCAGAAGGCGGAAACCGCCUACGCUCAGACUCCUCCUGUCUGGGCCCCACCUGGGUAUCUGAGGUUCUGAGAAUACGACUGGUUUUCCGAGAACACAAGGCUGCCGCAGGCCUGAUGAAAACAGCCACCUCAGAAGAUGCUUGGACUCGUUCACCUUGUUAUGACUCUAUACUUGUGAUGAAAGGUCAAGUUUCAGGAUGCAGCAAAUGACUGAACAAAAAGAGCCACCUUGGAGUAUCCCAUGACGUCAAAAGUAAUGUGUGAGGCAUGCGCUCUCAGUUAAGUAUUUAAUUGUUAAAUCUAAGUAUGUAUUUCAAUCUCAAUAAAGUCUAGCCUAUGUGAUAAUGGCACUGGCAUUUGAAUAGAUAAUCUAGGCAUUACCUAAAAUGCACGAAUUCAAACAACGAUGUUACUGAUACGUCCUCCGCUGAGAUUGAAAGGUGUCACACCUGUAUGGGGUCUGAGUUGGCAGACCUGGGGGUCCAGGAGCAGGUAUCAUUACUCCAGCUACAUCCAGCUGUCAUGGACUGAGAACACCUGAGAGAUGUUGAGAAAUAAAAAGAUCUACGAAAUGUGUGUGUGUGUGUGUGUGUGUGUGUGUGUGUGUGUGUGUGUGUGUGUGUGUGUGUGUGCGCAUGCUUACGGCACAACGGGUUGUGGUGAACUCACAUACUCUGUCUGUCUGUUUUCUGCACGCAUGCUGGGAUAAUGGAUCACAUGAUUGUGCCCAGGGGUCAGUGGUAGUAGAUUUCAAACCAUCCAUCAUAAUUACAUACAGUAUCUCUACUGUUUGUGUCCUUGAUUAACACUGGUUCAUUAAAUAAAUUAACAGAGUAUAUUUAAAUCACCAAAACUAAAAACCAAGCCUAGGGCCACAGAAAUAUCUAGUGUAUAGAAAUGAUUUAGUUUAGCUUUGUUGGGUCAGUAAUCGAAAGGUUGCUAGAUCGAAUGCAUGCACGCACGCACACACACACACACACACACACACACACACACACACACACACACACACACACACACACACACACACAUACAUACAUGUCUACCUGUUCAAGCCCACACAUUAAUUUGCAUUUCUAUAGCAAUUCACACACGUAUAAGAUCCAACAACAUGGGUUCACCUUUGGAACGAGCUAUACAGGUUAAGAAGCAUGCCUUUAACUCUUUUCUAUAAAUGGCUACUGGCUGUGGGGUUGUCUGAUGGGGAAAGAAAGUGGGUGUGGCAAGCUUUUUUUUUACAUACUUAAUUUGUUGUGUAAUAAAAAAUUGUUACAACUUAUGCCAUGAAGCAUCUUUGUUUUCCAGUGGCUUAUUCAAAUAAUGUGGUUUAGACAUGACUACAAUUCCCAUCAGCACGCUAGGUGUGACCAACAAAACUCCUCUGAUUGGUUG